UACAGAGGGGGCAAGCGUUGUUCGGAAUUACUGGGCGUAAAGGGUCCGUAGGCGGUGUAGCAAGUCGAUAGUGAAAUCUCUGGGCUUAACCCAGAGGCUGCUAACGAAACUGCUGUGCUAGAGUGUGAGAGAGGCGAGUGGAAUUACGGGUGUAGCGGUGAAAUGCGUAGAUAUCCGUAGGAACAUCCGAGGCGAAGGCGGCUCGCUGGAUCACAACUGACGCUGAGGCGCGAAAGCGUGGGGAGCAAACAGG
rnacentral:rRNA from 1 species